rnacentral:rRNA from 1 species
UACGUAGGCAGCGAGCGUUGUUCGGAGUUACUGGGCGUAAAGGGUGUGUAGGCGGUUCUUUAAGUUUGGUGUGAAAUCUCCCGGCUCAACCGGGAGGGUGCGCCGAAUACUGAGGGACUAGAGUGCGGGAGAGGAAAGUGGGAUUCCUGGUGUAGCGGUGAAAUGCGUAGAUAUCAGGAGGAACACCGGUGGUGUAGACGGCUUUCUGGACCGUAACUGACGCUGAGACACGAAAGCGUGGGUAGCAAACAGG